CUGCCUCCGCCCUUAGAACAUCAAGUCAGUUUACAUCAUGAUUCUUUGAAGUUGCCUUAUGACACAACUAGCCGUCUUGUUUUAUUGUUAAAUGUAAGUUUGUAUAAUAUAGCUUCUGAUGUUCAUGUAUUAUUGUAUUGAUUUAUUGUGGCCUGCAAGACAUCUAGCUAACCAUUAACAUUUCUUAUCCUUUCUUAUGUAAACAAUCCUCACUCUACCUUUUACAAAGCAUCGGAUGGUAUUACACUGGGUGUAGCACUGGAAAGGAAACCCUAAAAAAAGGAAAACAUUGACAAAAGUAUUAACCAAAAUCCCCAAAUUCUCUCAACUUCAGCACUAGAAAUGACUGGUCAUCCAAAGGAAAUCAUCACACAGAUUCUGUACUUUGUCCCAGCGAAAUCUAUUGGCAGAUUUAGAAGUGUUUUAAAAGGUUGGUUGUCUCUUCUUACACACCCCAAUUUCAUUAAAACCCAUCAAAAUACCCUCAACAAACUUCACCUUCUAUUCGUCACGACAGAGUCCAAUAUUAAUCAUCCUGCAGUGUAUUUAAACCCAUAUGAUGCACCAGUUUUAAGACCUUCAGGUCUCGACUUGUUAGACGAAGCUAAUCCUGAUUAUAAAGAUAUCAAGGAUUUAAUAAUAUGUGGCUUUUGCGACGACCUUGUUUUGAUUACUGUAGUGAUACUUACCUCAGGGUGUAUUGCUUAGGUUAUGAUUCGGAUAUGGGUGAUUUUAAGUUUGUUUUUCUCGAUUCGGGUGAUUUUAAGUUUAUUUUUCUCGAUUGCGUACGAGAUAUAUUCCCAAUUGAAGGCAGUACUAUGAAUGUGAAUAUUUAUCGCCUUAAAACUAAUACUUGGAGGCGGCUAGAUUCUCUUGAUGAUUAUGUUUGUAGAUCUUCAAAGCGAGAAGGUGUUUUUGUUAAUGGUCUCUUCAUUGGUUUGCUGAAAAGACUGUUAAUGGUUUAUGACUAACGUUUAUCUUGGCUUUUAGUGUAGCGGAUGAGAAGUUUAGUGAAGUGCCAACACGAGUUUGUUGAAAGUAGUAAUGUUUUGUCAACAAGUUAUUGUGAGCUUGUUGUUCUUGGAGGAAAACUUGCUUUAUUCCAUGAACAGAAAGGUAAGAUUUGGUUGAUGAAUGAGUAUAGGAUAAAAGAAUCUUGGACUAAGACUUCACCAUGGAAUUCCAAUGGCUAUGCCAGAUUGUGAUGAUAAGCCUAUGGUUUUUCACCAUGAUGGGUAGUUCAUGGUGGCUAACAACGCUUGGAUGAUGGUGUAUGAUGAUGAAAAGGAGUCUUUUGAGGAAACUGUUUGUGUUUGGGAUCUUGCAAAUUUCAGGGUUAAAGGUAUCCUAAGGCCCUUGUUUCGAUUGCUUUGUGCAUUGAACAGUGAUCAAUGUACGUGAUUGGUUUAUAUACGUGUUAGACAUGGUCGUGCAGUUGCAAUGUAUUAGACUAAUGAAUUCUGAUGUUUUCAAUUUAUAAAUGCUAGCUCCUUGAUCUCAAUUUGUAAGCUUUCUUAGUGUAAUAACAAUGUUAGAAUCUUGUAUGAUCA